AUUGAACGCUGGCGGCAGGCCUAACACAUGCAAGUCGAACGGUAACAGGAAGCAGCUUGCUGCUUCGCUGACGAGUGGCGGACGGGUGAGUAAUGUCUGGGAAACUGCCUGAUGGAGGGGGAUAACUACUGGAAACGGUAGCUAAUACCGCAUAACGUCGCAAGAACAAAGAGGGGGACCUUAGGGCCUCUUGCCAUCGGAUGUGCCCAGAUGGGAUUAGCUAGUAGGGGGGGUAACGGCUCACCUAGGCGACGAUCCCUAGCUGGUCUGCGAGGAUGACCAGCCACACUGGAACUGGAACACGGUCCAGGCUCCUACGGGAGGCAGCAGUGGGGAAUAUUGCACAAUGGGCGCAAGCCUGAUGCAGCCAUGCCGCGUGUAUGAAGAAGGCUUUCGGGUUGCAAAGUACUUUCAGCGGGGAGGAAGGGAGUAAAGUUAAUACCUUUGCUCAUUGACGUGACCCGCAGAAGAAGCACCGGCUAACUCCGUG
rnacentral:rRNA from 1 species